rnacentral:rRNA from 1 species
AUACGUAGGUGGCAAGCGUUGUCCGGAAUUAUUGGGCGUAAAGCGCAUGUAGGCGGUAAUUUAAGUCUGUCGUGAAACUGCGGGGCUCAGCCCCGUAUGGCGAUGGAAACUGGGUUACUUGAGUGCAGGAGAGGAAAGGGGAACUCCCAGUGUAGCGGUGAAAUGCGUAGAUAUUGGGAAGAACACCGGUGGCGAAGGCGCCUUUCUGGACUGUGGCUGACGCUGAGAGGCGAAAGCCGGGGUAGCGAACGGGAUUAGAUACCCCGGUAGUCCUCGCCGUAAACGAUGGGUACUAGGUGUGGGGGGUAUCGACCCCUUCCGUGCCGGAGUUAACGCAAUAAGUACCCCGCCUGGGGAGUACGGCCGCAAGGCUUAAACUCAAAGGAAUUGACGGGG